AACACCGUAAUUCAGAGGAAGAAUGCAAGGCUCAUAUGAUGAAACCUUGAAGUCACUGGAUCGAAACCAGUCGGUGUUA